GUGCUCACAUCGGCGGCCCAUAUACUAAAAUUGGAACAAUACAGAGAUUAGCAUGGCCCCUGCACAAGGAUGACAUGCAAAAGACAGAUGGUAUAUAAGACACAUUUAU